rnacentral:tRNA from 1 species
UCUCUGAUAGCUCAGUUGGUAAAGAAUCUGCCUGCAAUGCAGGAGACCCUGGUUCAAUUCCUGGGUCAAGAA